rnacentral:misc_RNA from 1 species
GAAAAUCCUUUUACACACAAGCAACUUUGCACAUUGAUACUACGGGUAGCUCCAGAUUUUAAAAGUUAUUUCUGUGAACUAACCGGUUAAGUCGCAAGAAUGAAAUCUGUGCUAAUCACUGGAGCCAACAGAGGCUUAGGACUCGGUAUGGUGAAAUAUCUCACUAAACACAACAAAGCAGAAACAAUAUUCGCGACAUGCCGCAAAGAAUCCGAGGAACUUAAGCAACUAUCGCAUGAAAACAAAAAUCUUCACAUAUUAAACUUAGAUGUGGCAAACACGGGUAGCUAUGGCGAGAUUUCAUCGCAGAUCUCAGGAGUAGUGGGUGCGAGCGGGUUAAACUUACUUAUCAAUAAUGCUGGGAUAACCACUAAGUUUACAAAGCUUAAUCUUGUGAAAACUGAGCAGUUACUUGACAAUCUCACCAUCAACACUAUCGCACCGAUCAUGCUUACAAAGACCCUCUUGCCAUUACUGAAACAAGCAGCCGAAGCCAACAAAGACCAGCCCUUCGGAGUCCGUCGUGCUGCCGUCAUCAACAUGAGCUCAAUUCUGGGGUCUAUCGCGCAGAACGACCAGGGCGGGUUCUACCCUUACCGGUGCUCUAAGGCAGCCCUCAACGCUGCAACCAAAUCCAUGAGUAUUGACCUCAAGAAGGACCAGAUCCUAGUGGCAAGCAUGCACCCCGGCUGGGUACGUACCGACAUGGGCGGCAAGAACGCUCCACUGGACGUGGAAACCAGCAUCGCAGGCAUCUUCGAGACGGUCGAGCGGCUCGGCGAGGCGGACACUGGCCGGUUCUUGCAGUACGACGGAUCUGAGUUGCCAUGGUAACCGGUAGUGUGUUGGAGGACGAACAAAAUACGUACCAAAGCGCUCAAACGGCGAUGUGAUAGUCUAUUUUUAUAUCACCGAGCAUUUAAGAUUAAUAGUCCAACAUAGGUACAUAAGUACAGGUCUCAUUAUACAUUUUUGUCUCACUUUGUGGUGCCGUGAGGCGUACAACGUACGAGCAUUUAACUGUUUUAGUACAAAAGUAAGUUAGUAGCACACAAAAUAAUGCGUAUACCUAAGUAUAAAUGUGUUAUAAAUUAACAACAGUAGGUACUUCGAGUCUUCGAUACUUUGGAUCUUACUUUACAUCGAUCUACGGCAACUGCGUCCUACUUACAUUAACUGUGUCUUUAUAAACUUGCUUUUAUGUAUACAUACCUACACAUGAAAAUUAGGAUAAGUAGAUAUGUUAUUUUUAAUAAAAGCGUUGUUUUUGGCAUGUAAAAAA